AUCACUGCUGCAGCUGUGUGUGUUUGCGGCUAUCGGAACUGCCAAGUCCACAGCGCUUGCAGUAAUGUGGAAAAUUUAAUUAAACUGCAAUGCACUACGGAAUUGAGAGCCACGACGCCAAUGCCGUAACGGCCAGAAGCACUGGACUAAAUGUUUGCAACAAGUGAAAUAGCCCCAAAUGUUAAUCGCCGCAAUGAACAUGCACAAGUGGUUUUUUUUUUCCUUUUUGCACGCUUUCGCUGCGGUCCGCCAUUUUGCUGGGCACACCAGAAAAGUGUGGGUAAGCGGCUGCAGGGAAACGCAGAGAGACUCUCUAGAAGAGAAAUAUGUUUUCUAGAUUUGUAAAUAAGUUUGUGACGGGAGUGAUGGAAAAACAAAUGCGAGCACCAUAAAAACUGAAUCAGCAUUAAGAUCAAUGAGCAAAAUGUGGCUCCUGAUCAUGUUAGAAUUUUUAUAUCAUUUUGCCAGCAAUUUAAUGUCAAAGAAGUGAAAGCUGGACUCUACUGCAGGCUUUUAUUGGAAUGAACUUAAAAUUAUAUGGAUGCUCACUUAUUUAUUAUUGAUUGCUCAUUUUAAAUAAUGAUGG